rnacentral:rRNA from 1 species
CCCUUGUCCUAUGUUGCCAGCACGUAAUGGUGGGGACUCAUGGGAGACUGCCGGGGACAACUCGGAGGAAGGGGGGGAUGACGUCAAGUCAUCAUGCCCCUUAUAUCCAGGGCUGCACACAUGCUACAAUGGUCGGUACAGAGGGCCGCAAUCCCGCGAGGGUGAGCCAAUCCCACAAAGCCGACCUCAGUUCGGAUUGGAGUCUGCAACUCGACUCCAUGAAGCCGGAGUCGCUAGUAAUCCCGGAUCAACAAAGCCGGGGUGAAUACUUUCCCGGGCAUUGCACACACCGCCCGU